UACGUAGGGUGCGAGCGUUGUCCGGAAUUAUUGGGCGUAAAGAGCUUGUAGGCGGUUUGUCGCGUCUGCUGUGAAAAUCCGGGGCUCAACCCCGGACUUGCAGUGGGUACGGGCAGACUAGAGUGUGGUAGGGGAGACUGGAAUUCCUGGUGUAGCGGUGAAAUGCGCAGAUACCAGGAGGAACACCGAUGGCGAAGGCAGGUCUCUGGGCCACUACUGACGCUGAGAAGCGAAAGCGUGGGGAGCGAACAGG
rnacentral:rRNA from 1 species